UACGAACAGGAAAGUAAGCCAAGCAAGAUCUAAAACGUUGGCUGAUACUUCGACCGCGACGUACUCGACGAUCGUCACUCGUACAAUUUUCUAAUAUCGUCGGUAGCAACGGUUACCGCCACCGAAGUGGUGAGCCAUGAGAACGCAAGCCAAGCGAUUCAAAGACAACUCUCGUUCUGGCAGUCGUCGUCACCCUGUCGAAUAAUACAGAGUAAUGGUGUAGAAGCGGAUUCUAGCAGUACUCGUAGCCGCUGCACACCAGACCAUCAGCGCGUGCGUUUUAGGGUUUGUCCGUACCCGGCUGUAGUGGAGGAUGAGAAGCAAAGCCGGUUCGACGGUUUUCCGACGAACAAAACUAAUCACUUGGAGGCGGAACAGAUUGUAAAAUAUCUCUGUACGUGUGCAUACACGCACGGUGUAUUGAUAACUGUGCCAGCAAAAUGACUAGCAGUGAUUCUGCGGUGUUGUCAUUGGAUAGCGAUUUUUUAUUGCGACCGUCGGAUGCUGCAGGCCAAGGGCCGUAUUGCCGAGACGAACAGUCCGAAUGGAUGGCGUCACCAAUGAAAGUUUUCGAGACAAGGGCAUUGGCCAGCGGAAAAUUUCAAUACGCCGCGUAGGCGAGAGCAGUAAGGCUAUUUUUGGUGGACAUCCGAAACAGUCGGUAGUACGUGGAGCUGAGCGUGCCUAGGCGCAAAUGGAUCAGAAAUGGGUGACUCCACAUCAAACAGCAUAUUAGGUUUUGUUUUUUAUAGUCUGUUGAGGAUUCAACCAGAUUUUUUCAUAUUCUAGUUGGACAAUGUGUCUUCGAAAAAAAUUGGCAAUAAGCAGUGAUAGCCUUAUACUACGAUAUAAAUAACACCCCGAAGAUUGCUGUUAAUAUCAUUAUUACUGCUUGUCAACUUCUUAACAACUAUUGAGGAAGCACAAAUAGUGGAUUUGGGAGCUGUGUCAAAGAGAAACCGUUUGGUUGAGCCUCGAGUUCAUCGGAUCGAAAUACCUUUCGUGUUCAGGAUGAAAGAUCUGACAGCCAUUCACUGUGUCGUUUGGUCUUUCGUGUAGGCUAUAUUUCAAGAGGUUUCACCGAAUGCUGGGCAUUAACUGACACGCAUUUUGACCCGGGCUUCACGUUCAGAAAGAACACAUAUUCGACAUGUACAUACCAUCAAUGCCAUGUCGAUGUACCUGCUAGCUGUAAAAUGCCGAUGAAACCUGCGUAGCUUCCUGAUCAACGAUGCUUCAAGAUGUUUGCUGCAGUAUCAUGGUCAUUUCAGAGAACUGUUCCUAGUGGAAACAGAAAACGCAUUGAUAUUUCAUCGUUUCUACAUGGCUUCUAAGGAUGACCGGCAACGAUUUUAAUCGCUUCGAUCCUCGUCAAAUGAAUAGCUUCAAAACAUGUAUCGAACGACAGGUAUACCACGCUAGUUUUAUAGAACUGCGGUUCGCUUCCAGAUGUCAUUGAUCACACUAGCCAUACGGUACGUCAGCCUCGCUCCUUUAUCCAUUGCACAUUUGUUGUAUCACUUGAAGCCGAUCGUUUACCCUUAUCGUAGAAACAAAAGCUCUACCUCUUCUUUAUCUUCGCUUUAAUAGUUCAUAUUCCUAUAUAAAACAUCAGUACCCAAGUGUUUGUAGAGCCCACAGCUAAUAUCUGUGAAGAACCUGCUCGUAUAGCUGAAGCGUUCCAGCUUUCCAACGCUGACUUCGCAAUUUAGCUGGUAUCGUGGGGAUGCUGUCCCGUAGAAACUUCACGGUCACAAGGCAGAAGUAGCGACCCCGCUGCCACCGCCUUAAUACUUCUGAUUGCCAGGUUUUGUCCGCUUUGUCAACCUCCUACAAACGCAUCGACGUUUCUAACCGUUGUUCUAAAGCUCUUGUCACCUACGGUAUAAGCGGUAACCAAUCAUAUAUUCAUCCGCUUGUCUAGAAAAAUUAUAUCGGGCUAAAUUCAAGAUCUGCCGCCUCCGUUACAUUCCCAAGAAAUACAACGGUCAGGCUCUAGUGUAACCAUGUGUAGGCCCCGUAAAACAAAGUCAAGAAAAAGAACAAUAACGAAGAAUACAGAGCACACAAUGAAUAAGAAUAGGAGGACCGAAAAUAGCAAGGGGAACGAGGAGGAGAGGCGUUGAAGGCGAAACGUCCUUCAAGUUCUUAGUGUUAAGUUAACUUCGGAAAAUAUUCGCGACACGAAUAAUUUCGAUGAUGACGACAAUAGAGACGAGAACUUCGGUCUUCGCCGCUUCGGUGACUCCGGCUCCGCACCUCGUGACUAUGCCCCCGUAACAGCUCCGCUGUAAUGCCAACAUAGUGUAAUGGCGCCAGUUUGCUCGCUGGUUUGCCAUUCGUGCGUACCUAGUAUCAUUAUUGUCAACUAUUGCAUGGACGCCCAGCUGCGGGUGAAUUCUUCUACUGCGAUGAAUGAAACAUUUGUAAAAAUCAAGCGGAACGAUUAAAGGGGCAGCGAGCAAAUGUCUAAAAAAGUUAGAACAUGAAGUACGAAGAUUGAUGACGGUAGGAUCGUCUAGAAACGUUACAUUGCUGUGAUGGUCCAUGUUUUCGUUGAAGAUUGAUGACGAGAAGGGCCGGCUGGGGCAUCGUCUUUUUUUCAAGUGAAGAUAAUCGCUGAACAGCAAACAACCCCCACCGCGCUAUCAGCUCUAUGAAUGAACAUGAAGCGAAAGGUGUUAUUCUAAAUGGUGGCCUUGUAGCCAGCACUUCGAAUUGUUCUUUGGUUAUCUACUAUCAUAGACUACUGGAGCACAAGGAUACACAAAUCUAAGAAUCUAUGUGACGUGACAAAGACGUACCGCUCAUCAAAAUGAAGAAAAAACAAAUGGAAAUAAGAUGAGUUUUUACUCGAGUCGUUUAAGUGGUAUGUGCCACAGGUACGGUUUGAUAUCUUUAGGACCUUCUACAGUUUUUAUCGACAACUCUAACUAACUGUUUCAACCGUGCAUCGUAUUGUCGUAGAGUAGUAGAUAUAACGUUUCAACAGCGGAUUCGGUUCCUGUCCAGGCCAGGAAUGGCUUUUCGAGUUCUCUCUACCUGUACAGAAUAACCGAUCGUCCCAACGUUUUGACGUAUAAUGAAUUUCAGUGUCGACAACGAAGUUCCACCGUUCGCGAAGGGAAAAUCUUGUGCCUUUGAACAAAGCGUUCCUAACGUUAAGUCUUCCAGCUGGACGUCGUCCGUUUUUGUCUAACUAAUCACGUUAGCAGAAUGUCAACAGGAACAACUUAAAAAAAGUUUCACACGAAACGAAAUGUGUCUACGGCCGGAUUCACUAAGUUCAACGGGUGAACGCGAUAUCCACCGCGCUAUUAGGAAAGCAUAUAGGCAUACGCUGGAUGUUCACGAGGUGGGGAAUAGCAAAGGGCGACAUAAAUCCCGGCGAAACACCUAAGCGAAGAUGAUUCAUGGUAAUGACUGCUGAGCAGGAGACAGCGUACUUUACAAGCUUCUGAGGGAGAAAUAUUAUUGAACUUACUUAUACUUCGUUUGCAUCUGCAAAGGCGUCAACAACUCUAACAUUCGAGCGGCUCGUGGUGUUGCCCUUUGGCCGUCCGGGGCUAGACAAUCCCGAUUCAUUCGCUCCAAUCGACGCCUGUGGGUGCGAACCUCUUCAGAUAAGAGAUAGCCAAUCUCAGGAAUAUGCCGUUGAAGAAAAGGCAACGAUGUUG
rnacentral:lncRNA from 1 species